UAAAGCGGAACACACACGUCGUCUGUAACAGGGAGCAAACACAGACCAAACUCAAACUAACAUAUUGCUGAAAGUUCAUCUGAAGCCAUCACCAGAUUUGGUCUGAACAGAAGGGCUUGCAUUAACUAAGGUGAAGGAGAAGGAGCUGCGCUCACUUCCACUUCCACUUCCACUUUCUUUCAAACUCCCGGCCCCGUUUGCACACGGAACAAAACUUUUCGUCCUCUGAGCCGACAGCCUGCUGCAGAGAGGACAUGGGAAGCUCCUUUCAUCUUUUUUUUUCGUCAUCGCAUCCAGAAAGGGGUCAAGCUGUUUAUCGAAAAUAAAUAAAUAAAUGAAGGCAAAUGGAUGAGGAGAAAGUGGCUCCUAAUGGGAUGAGGGGCCAACCGUCUGUCGGUUUCGUCGCUGUGUGGGGAAGAUGCUGGAAAUGUGAAACCUCACAGCCUCAAGACCUGAGCUGACUCCUUCAUGUGGCUUUUGUUCACAUGAUUAAUCUUGGAUACAACAAUGCAUGUGCCUGCAAACAUUAUAAUAAUGCGUACAUUUUGCUUUUUUUCACACCGCCAAAAGUUCAGCCAGUGCUAAUAUUUAAAUAAAAGUAGAAAAAGGUCAAUAGGGUUCAGGUAUAAGUUUAUACAUCUCUGUUGUUUUUCAUUCAUGAUUUCUUUUAAUUGUUACGUGAACCAUUAGUAUUUAUAAAUGAGUGAAUAAGAUAAAAACAAAAAUGGAAAUUGUAUAUUUCUUUCAUACACAGCUACAAUAAUUAACUAAAUCUGAAGGAAUUUAAAAAAAACACUUUCUUGAGUCUGAACCAUCAUCCGAUAGUAUCAUAAGCUCAAGUUAUGUGAAUUAUGUUUUUCACUUCAUGUGGGCUUUGAUGUGUCCAGACAGGUUGGGUCGAAACAGCAGCAACAAGGAACAACACAGGCAGUGUGUGUGUUUGUGUGUGUGUGCGUUUGUUUCUAAUACCUUGUGGGAAUCAUUUUCCUGACUUAUACUACGUUGUGGGGACACACUGCUCUUUGUGGGGACCGAAGCCUGGUCCACACAAGAGGAAACGCUGUUUUUGAGUCAGGGAUCAGAUUUAGGACUAAGGUGUGAAUUAAGUUAGGGUUAGGGUUAGGCUGUAGAAAUGAAUGGAAGUCAAUGGAAAGUCCCUGCAAAGAUACCUGCGCAAAUAUGGGUGUGUGUGUGUGUGCAUCGCUGCUCAGAUGUAUCAACUGAACAUCACCAAAAAUCUAUCAAAAAAUUUCAAAAAAUCAAAAUUUCUCCACGGUGGUUUUAUUGUGUACACACAUCAAAUGGCACAUUGUACAAAAAUAAAAAAUCCCCCAAAAUUUUAAUGAACGAAUAGCAGCAGGUAUAUCAGAGGCUUUAUGUGAGAAAUACAUGCUUAUGAUGCAGGUUGCCAGAAUAAACCUGGUCUGGAGUCAUUUAACCUGACUGGUUAAGAAAACAUGACCUUAUAGAAGGAAAAGAAUCACAAAC